rnacentral:rRNA from 1 species
AGCAGCCGCGGUAAUUCCAGCUCCAAUAGCGUAUAUUAAAGUUGUUGCAGUUAAAAAGCUCGUAGUUGAAUUUCGGGGCCAGUAGGUUGGUCGUGCCACUGGUAUGCACUGGCCUUAUUGGUCUCUCCCUCCUGAAGAACCGUGAUGCCAUUAAUUUGGUGUUGCGGUGAGGCAGGACUGUUACUUUGAAAAAAUUAGAGUGCUUAAAGCAGGCUA